ACGGAGAGUUUGAUCCUGGCUCAGGAUGAACGCUAGCGGCAGGCCUAAUACAUGCAAGUCGAACGAGAUUCUUUUCUUCGGAGAAGAUGAAAGUGGCGCACGGGUGCGUAACGCGUAUGCAACCUACCUCUUACUGGGGGAUAGCCCGAAGAAAUUCGGAUUAAUCCCUUAUAGUAUUGUCACUUCGCAUGUUGCGACAAUUAAAGGUUACGGUACAAGAUGAUCAUGCGUCCCAUUAGCUAGAUGG
rnacentral:rRNA from 1 species